rnacentral:miRNA from 1 species
AUACUGUAUGUGCCAAUGUAUG